rnacentral:rRNA from 1 species
UACGUAGGGUGCAAGCGUUAAUCGGAAUUACUGGGCGUAAAGCGUGCGCAGGCGGUUUUGUAAGUCUGACGUGAAAUCCCCGAGCUUAACUUGGGAAUUGCGUUGGAGACUGCAAGGCUGGAGUCUGGCAGAGGGGGGUAGAAUUCCACGUGUAGCAGUGAAAUGCGUAGAGAUGUGGAGGAACACCGAUGGCGAAGGCAGCCCCCUGGGUCGACACUGACGCUCAGGCACGAAAGCGUGGGGAGCAAACAGG